UUUGGUCUCGUUUGCUGGACUUAUUCCCCCGACUGACCUUUCAAAGUAGGGAAGAAAGAGGCCAAAGUAUGAUUCAAAUUGGUACAAAACAGUGUAGCAUCGUUGAUAUAUAAGGAGGAAGAUUCCCAGAUGCUCUCUGUCGUCUCUGUCCUUCAUUUGAAUCGUCCGUUUGUCUCGGCCUAAAACGCAAAAAGUCGAUCGCAUUCCUAUCAGUCUAUUCAAACCCUAAAGAUUCAGAACGACCUCGGCCCUUGCUUUUCCUGUAGGCGAAUACGACACGCGCCCACGUUUUAGUUCUGGUUCAGCUGGCGAAACUUGACAAUUUUGAACGAUGCUAAAUGAGUAAUUGGCACAAUUCUCUCAGCCACCCAACUUGGAAGCUGCGAACAACGUUGCUUCAUUUUCGACUUUUAGUGCAAAGUGGGAUGUACGCCGAGACUUGACUGUAAGGGGUUUCUGAGAAAAUUGGGUGUGUUGAGCUUAUUGAUGGGUGUAUGCGUUGGAUGGGACUUUAGAAGGCCGAAAAUAGCAGAAGGUGGCCCAAGUAGGCCUGCAAUAGCAAAGAGAAGUGCAUAACUAAAUUGCCUGUGGAAAUAUGGAAUAGGUUGAGGCCCUAAUAGAGAGGGUGUACAUUACCGAAAGUCUUACCUGACGGCCCAACUCGUCUAAACCAAAGCAAGGCCCAUUACUUCACCCAUCAACCUUUGAAGCCCAUCAUCAGGGUCAUGUGUGGUCUCAAAGUUAUUAGGUAAGAGGAAAACUUCCCCAAUGUUCCACAAGAGAGCCUUAUUUUUAAUUAAAUGAAGCAAAAGUUGAAUAAAGUUGGGCUUCUAAGGCCAUCUCCGA